rnacentral:tRNA from 1 species
CAGGGAGACAACAAAAUGUUUAAUAUUAUUAUUUUGUCACCUUAGGUCGAUCGGUAUCUCACGUUCUUAAUUUGUUAAGAAUUUCAUUUCCUAAGUUUUUCUAGGUCACACCCAUUAUUUUUCCUGGGCCAUUAGCUCAGGUGGUUAGAGCGCACCCCUGAUAAGGGUGAGGUCCCUGGUUCAAGUCCAGGAUGGCCCAUAUCUCUAUGUUGGGGGUAUAGCUCAGUUGGUAGAGCGCCUGCUUUGCAAGCAGGAUGUCAGCGGUUCGAGUCCGCUUACCUCCACUGAUUACCACCUCUUCCAUAACCGGUAUAAAGGAAAUGUUUUGAGUUGUGAUUAUUAUUCUGAACGAAUCUAGCUUCCUAAUGAAAUCAUUAAGAUGCUGGACUCAUUGAAUUAAUUUCAUUGUUUUCAGAGAACCUUGACAACUGCAUAGAUUAUUUUUAAAGACAAUAAGCAUCUUUAAUGAUGCAGAUUUAUUAUUUUUGCGAAUGCAUUAAUAACAAUUCUAUUAAGCUGAUGCUUCAAUUUUUGAAGUUAUU